UACCCACUCAAACCCAUAUUCCUAGGAGCC
rnacentral:piRNA from 1 species